GCUGGGCUUGGUGGCGCAUGCCUGUAAUCCCAGCUACUUGGGAGGCUGAGGCAGAAGAAUCUCUUGAACCCGGGAGGUGGAGGUUGCAGUGAGCCGAGAUCACGCCACUGCACUCUAGCCUGGGUGACAGAGUGAAACUCUGUCUCAA
rnacentral:SRP_RNA from 1 species